ACAUUUCGAGUGUGCCUGUCCCAAAUUAGGAACAUGUAAUUCAGUGGUGGUCCUUUGUUGCUGUGUUAGAUAUUUGUUUUUCGAUCGUUUUUUUUUGUACAGAAGUUUGGUCGUUAGUUUUCUCUUUUGAAAUGUUUUCAAUUUGACAUUUCGAGGACUUUUAUAACGUACCAUGCAGUGUAGGCUUUGCCCAUUGUUGAAUGUCAUACGGUAUCGUAUAGUUGUUAAUUUCUGUGUCAUUUUGUCUCUUGUGAUGAGUUGUGUCAUUGGCAAUCAUACCACCUCUUCUUUUUCAUAUAAUUAUAUGUUUGUCGCGGGCUCACUUGUUGCUAAGGGUUUCAUUGUUGCAUUUUUGUCAGGUGAGCGAUUCAGGUACUCAAAUCGUCUAUUUUGAUGAGCUUAUAGCUUUUUAUAUUUAGAUUUCAUCCUUUAAAUUUAUCAUAUUUUUUUUUUAUCUUACUGUUAAAUUUAUGGUUUCUUGAAGUUUCAAAAAUGCUCUUAAUUUGGAAUUAUUUU
rnacentral:lncRNA from 1 species